rnacentral:rRNA from 1 species
UACGAAGGGGGCUAGCGUUGCUCGGAAUCACUGGGCGUAAAGCGCACGUAGGCGGCUUGUUAAGUCAGGGGUGAAAUCCUGGAGCUCAACUCCAGACUGCCUUUGAUACUGGCGAGCUUGAGUUCGGGAGAGGUGAGUGGAACUGGCGAGUGUAGAGGUGAAAUUCGUAGAUAUUCGCAAGAACACCAGUGGCGAAGGCGGCUCACUGGCCCGAUACUGACGCUGAGGCACGAAAGCGUGGGGAGCAAACAGGG